ACGAUGAUGAGUGGGAAGACUGA
rnacentral:piRNA from 1 species